rnacentral:lncRNA from 1 species
AGACGUGGGAACAACGCAAGUCCCACUUACAACACUUAAGAACAUUCUCAUGAUGACCGUUGAACUGGAAAAACUGCUGUAGUUCCUCACUGAAUAUUGGUUGAAGACUUCAUUGGCUUACUACCUGGACUUCUCCACACACUGCCUGAAUGUCCUCCCCACAUAGCUAGAGUGAAUGAACUAAAAAAGAGAGAGAACACACACAGCCCAGAGCCCCAGCAGACCACAGGAGGUUGGCCCCAGACUCAAUGAGUGCCUGCAGCAGCCGUACAGACACAGCAUCCUUGGCCACCUCAUGCCCAUCCCGGCCAUCUAGGAUCAGCACAACCCAGAUGAGGCCGCUGAAGGGCACCGGAUGCCCAGGAAUCACCACCUGGUACCAGAAGCGGUGCCAGCCAGCAGGUCCUAUGCCCAAACACUUGGUGAGGAACACAGAGCUGCCCAGCUUCAUUCGUUGGCACAGCAACUGCAGGGUAGCCCGAGCCCCUUGGGACCCUAACUUGUCCCUUGCCAAGGCCAACUGGCUGCCGUCUGGCUGUGGGGACCACAAGGAGGGACCCACAAGCUGCUGGCGAAGUCGCUGCUUCAGUUCUGGCUUGA